AUCAUCAAAAGCUGAGAUCUAAAGAAAUUCAGGAAGUGGUGAACUUUCCAGGAGUGGCCGCUCAACUAUAAUUGCCCCCCAAGAGCACAGCAACUUCUCAUUCAAGAGGUCACAAAAGACCCCACAACAACAGCCGCACAAGAACUGCAGGCCUCACUUGCCUCAGUUAAGCUGUCCAAUGAGCACGCGAGGAUUACGACGAAUGAGCGUGUGCACAGAAAGGGGGUAGGCUGCACCUGCGGUUCAGAAGGCAGCAGAUGCGGCUGGAGGGGCCCAGCAGCGGCGGCUCAAUUUCACUCAUGGAUUAUCGGAACAACCAUUUAUAUCACAUGGUUACAUGUUUGCCUAUUAUUCUAUAUAGAAUUGGUAGGUUUUUUUGCCUGCUUAUUUAGUCCUCCAUCCUCACUCAAUUUUUCUCUUAAUGUAUUGGCUCAAUAAAAUGUAGGCUAGUUAGCUCAGUACACAGUAUUGUUAUAUUUAAAGUGUAUUGUGCCACUUCAGGGAUGCUGGAGCCUACGCAUAAGUGGUGUGUAAUACAAUGUAAACAAAGCUAGCAGGACUGUCGGAUUGUGAUGUUUGCAUGUCAGACUAGCAUGAAUAUUUUAGUCAUGUGACAAAUUUGUGAUCUUUCUUUAAAUGCCAUACAAACAACAGUUCACACUCACAAUCAUACCUAUGAACAAUUUGGAAAUUAGAAAUUGUUUUCCCAGGACGUGCCCUGUUUCAGGUCCUGUCAUGCCCGUUGUUUUUUAAGAAGUAUUGUUGAUCGAGCGUGUGAGUGUGAAUGGUUGUUUGUCUGUAUGUGCCCUGCGAUUGGCUGGCCACCAGUCCAGGGUGGACCCCACCUCUUGCCCGAAGACAGCUGGGAUAGGCUCCAGCACCCCUGUGACCCUUGUGAGGCUAAGCGGUAGAAAAUGAAUGAAUGAAUGAUGAUCGAGCAGCAUGAGGCCACUCUUUCAUGUGACUUAACCCCUGAGAAGCUGCUGUGUCGAUGGCUUUUUUAAUUAGUCAUGCAAAAAAAAAGAAAAAGAAAAUCAGAUACACAGAGUUAAUUAAUUAUCUGACACUUGCUGAGUUAAAGUCUCGUGAAAUUGAGGAAUUCAGGCAAAACUGUUCAAAUUCCGAAGUUCAUGCACAGUUUGCCUGGAAAUAUUGGUUACAUUCCAAAAUUUCAAAAUAUGACCACAGUUGCCCGUGUCAUUCUCUUUUGGAAUCAUUUUUGUGACGGUUUUUGAAUGUUCUUGAAACUGGGUAUAUAUUUAAUUUAUACUGAAUUUGUGUUUUUGGUUAUGGGUAGUGUUUUGGAAUUUUUAUCCAUACACCGGAAGUAUACUUCAAAUGUAUCCUGGUUUUCGGUCAUCAAAAUAUAAAAAAAAAAAAUAAA